UGGGCGUAGUCCGGUGCGCUCU
rnacentral:siRNA from 1 species